rfam:Caenorhabditis elegans chromosome X
UGUAUCGGUCCGGCGUCAGUGGGUUAUCAAGUUUGCCUCCCUUCGGGGAAUUUCCCAUCGGCAUCAACUUGACAGUUAC